rnacentral:misc_RNA from 1 species
GAUGAAGAACGUAGCGAAAUGCGAUAAGUAAUGUGAAUUGCAGAAUUCAGUGAAUCAUCGAAUCUUUGAACGCACCUUGCGCUCCUUGGUAUUCCGAGGAGCAUGCCUGUUUGAGUGUCAUGAAACCCUCAAACCCAAGUUUUGGAUUUCGAUCCAUGCUUGAGUUUGGAUUUGGAUGUUUGCCGGUGAUGAACCGACUCAUCUUAAAAGUAUUAGCUUGGAUCUGUCUAUAUGACUGGUUUGACUUGGCAUAAUAAGUAUUUUGCUAAGGACAUCUUCGGAUGGCCAGGACCUAGACUACUGUCUGCUAACUAAACCAUCACUUUAAGUGCAUCUUUGGAUGUUACUCAUUGUGUAACUUUGACAUCUGGCCUCAAAUCAAGUAGGACUACCCGCUGAACUUAAGCAUAUCAAUAAGCGGAGGA